CCUUGUUCUACAGAUUAGGCAAAUGAGGCUCAGACAGAUUAAAAUACUUGGCCGGAUUUGAACGUGUCUGGGAUGGAAAUUGACUUGAUAUUCCCACCACACCGCAGCCAUUCCCUGGGAAGAUUUCAUCGUGCAGCAGCUUAGGCUGGGCUGGAGCCAGGGAGGCAGAAGGGCGAUGAGCAGAAACGACUGAUGUCUCCUUUACAGACGACCAGCAAAUCGCCGCCACACAUAAUGUGACCCUCAAGCAUAACUUUCUGCAAAGGCUUUUCUUAUCCGAAUGCAGACACUGGCUAAAGGUGGCAGAUGGAGCCAGAGCUUGAAGUGAAGCUUGAACAUUCAGGAAGCCAGUCUUCGUGAGUCUAGAUCUUGAAGGCCACGAACAAUUCCAGAAAGGUAGUAAGGUCAGCAGUGCAGAGUCUGGAUUUCAGGCAGACAGGAGGGCAGAGAGGCUGUAAAAACCUGGCACACAGCUUUUCGGAGCAGAGUUUUCUGAUCCACAAAAUGAGAGGAAGGGCUCUUCUUUGCACAUCUCUCCCCUGGCCCAUACUGCAGACAGAGACCCAUGUUUAUUUGGGAUCCAAGGUCCUAACCCCAGCUGCCCUCCAAUAAAUGGCAGCCAAGUUCCCAUGCCAAGCCAUGCUCUGGAUGAUGACCCCAGAUCAGGGUUGGGGUCAAAAGGACAGGAGUCUGGGGUCUGGGCCCAAGGCCGCAGCAGGAGGAGCGCAACCAACAGACGGAAAGGCGAGGGCAGGUGCUUGGCCAGCUCCCCCAACAUCCCAGCUCCCUGCCCCAGGCCAGGAGCAGAUCAGCGCUGAGGCUCUUCAGGUCUCCCUAAAUUAAUUAAUUAAUCUGAAUUCUUCAGGGAGAUAAUGUUAGAAUUGAAUUGAAUUGUGGAACACCCACAUGGUGUUGAAGACUUGCUUAGUGGUGUGAGAAAAAUCCCCACAUAUUGGAUCAAAUGGCUCCAAAAUUUGUACUUCUAGAACUGACCGUCUCCUCUCAUCCUCAAGUUACAGACUUGAAUGUCUAACCACUACUCCACAUCUGCCCUGUGUAAUAGCCCACAGACACCACAAGGGCCAACAGAACUUUGGAUUUUCUUUCCCAAACCUGUUCUCCUUGUUUCUCUUCCUUAGUAAAUGACACCACCAACCAACCAAUUGCUUGAACCCGAAACCAGGAAUCAUCUUGGAUUUCCUCACUUGUCCUGUCUCGAUUCUAAGCCAAAAAGCAAGUUCUGUGGCUCAACCUAUCAAACGUAUCACAAAUCUAUCUACGUCUCCAAACAGUGGCCAGAGGACCUUGAAAAAGGAAACCCCAACUCUUUGCUACAGCUCUCGAGGCACUCCGGAUCCCGCCCCUGCCUUGCUAUCCUGUCCGACCCCCGCCCCUUGGCCCAGCCACACUGGCCUUUCCUGGUCCCCGGCUGCACUCAGAGCCCUUGCCCUUGCUCGGGACUCUGCUUGGACUCCUCUCUGCCCAGAAAGCAGCUUUGUGCAGCUGGCUCCUUCCAGUCACUCAGGUCUUGGCUCAACUGUCCCCUCUGCAGGGGCCAGCUCUGACCACCCACCCUGGGCCGGGCAGAUGCCAUGGCAAGGGCGGGGGGGUGGGGGUGGGGGAGCACACCUAGAGGGGAGAGUCAGAACUGGGCCUGAGCCAUAUGGACUCCUGGGGAAGGACAG